UAAGAAAUAAUCUACUACUAUAUAAAGGAUUAGGGCCAAUCCACUAAUUGCCAAUUGGUUUUAAGUUGGAAGCCCAUAAUAAACCCGAUUCUAACAUGGUAUCAGAGCAAUAAGAUCAUUUGACCUAAUUUACUACAACUACUACUACUACACCGAUGUUGGAUCCUCUGUGGAUGUUAUUCCCACAUUGUCCACGCUUCAGACCUAGAUGUCUGAGCGUGAGGGAGGGUAUUGAUGAGAAACAUCCCACAUCGGAAAUAUAAGAAAUAAUCUACUACUAUAUAAAGGGUUAGGG
rnacentral:lncRNA from 1 species